CUCGGAGUUUGAUCCUGGCUCAGGAUGAACGCUAGCGGCAGGCUUAACACAUGCAAGUCGAGGGGUAUAGUUCUUCGGAGCUAGAGACCGGCGCACGGGUGCGUAACGCGUAUGCAAUCUACCUUUUACAGAGGGAUAGCCCAGAGAAAUUUGGAUUAAUACCUCAUAGUAUGUUGAGAAUCGCAUGGUUUUUACACAUUAAACGUUCCAACGGUAAAAGAUGAGCAUGCGUCCCAUUAGCUAGAUGGUAAGGUAACGGCUUACCGAUGGCGACGAGUGGGU
rnacentral:rRNA from 1 species